UACGGAAGGCAGCAGUGGGGAAUAUUGGACAAUGGGCGCAAGCCUGAUCCAGCCAUGCCGCGUGUGUGAAGAAGGCCUUCGGGUUGUAAAGCACUUUUGUCCGGAAAGAAAAGCUUAGGGUUAAUAACCUUGAGUCAUGACGGUACCGGAAGAAUAAGCACCGGCUAACUUCGUGCCAGCAGCCGCGGUAAUACGAAGGGUGCAAGCGUUACUCGGAAUUACUGGGCGUAAAGCGUGCGUAGGUGGUUUUGUUAAGUCUGAUGUGAAAGCCCUGGGCUCAACCUGGGAAUGGCAUUGGAAACUGGCUUACUAGAGUGCGGUAGAGGGGUGUGGAAUUCCCGGUGUAGCAGUGAAAUGCGUAGAUAUCGGGAGGAACAUCUGUGGCGAAGGCGACACCCUGGGACCAGCACUGACACUGAGGCACGAAAGCGUGGGGAGCAAACGAGGAUUAGAUACC
rnacentral:rRNA from 1 species